GCGAUGUUCCAGCCAUCCCACCCUAUCGGCACCACCUCCUUGGACAUGUCCGUGUAGGAGUACACCACCCGCGACGAAUCCCCCCAUGCCCGGCCGAGGUAGAUCUGCCCUUGUCCUUUGAUGCUGCAGUUCUUGAAGGAGAAGCCACUUUCUAUGGCGCCCUCGAUGGUCUUGGUCCUCUGCUGCGCCGUCAGCACGGACACCUCCUUGGUGACGGAGACGAUGGUGCAGCCCUCGUAGAGUGAUCUCCCGAAUCCAAAGAUGAAGUCGACGCUGCCCAUGAUGAGGCUAUCCUUGAUGUAGUGGAGUCCCUUGUGAUCGUAUAGGGUGUCCUGCCCGCCGUCGAUGGUGCAGUUGUAGAUGGCUGCCUUGGUGCCGAACAGGCGGAGCGCCACCGCCUGGCCACCCUCGGCACCCGGCUUGGCCAGCGGCGCGUCGUUCUUGAAGACGACGCCGUAGGCCAUGAAGUAGUCGGACUCGACGGCGACGGUGGUGCUCCCGACGGUGCCGACGGGCUUGCCGUCCUUGCCCCUGGUGGCAGCCAUGUCGUUCCAGGCGAUCACCGCCGGGUUGGCAGGGUCGGACUUGAAGGUGAUGUAGGGCUUAGUGAUGUUGAGGAGGAGCUUCUCCCGGAACUCGGCGCCGGGCUUGAGGUCGAGGAUGACGCGCUUGGUGUUCCCCUCGGGGACCUUCUCGAGCGCCGCCGCGAUGGUGGUGAAGGUGGUGUCGCCCGGCGUCCCCUUGGGGUCAACCACCCACGUCACCUUGGCCUCCUCCGCCGCCGAGAGGCUCGCGUCGAUGGUCUUCCCGCCGAUGUCGCCGGCGGCCUUCAUGGCGUACAGCGACUUCUUCUCGACGUACUCCUCGUGGUUCAUCAGCACCCACUUGCCAAACCCUCCGCCGGAGGAGCGGUGGCUGGGGCCGGCGGGGAGGAAUAGGUCGAAGAACUGCCAUGACGGCGCCGGCAGCGUCGCCGCCACCACCGCCAGUAGCCCCACCACGGCCACGGCGAGGUUGGGACGAUCCAUCGUUUAUUAGUUGCUGCAGUAUGCAGCUAAUUCGUUCUGUCCCUGCCCAUCAUGGCGCGAUGCGUAUAUAGGGUGAUCGAUCUUGGCGGAUUAAUUUGGAACUUCCAUGGAUGGAAGGGACAUGGCUGGCCAUCCAUUUUUGGGGAAAAUGUUCGUGCUUGGAUGGCCGGAUAGGUAGCAAGCACUUCUUGCUAAUUUGGUGACCGGCGAUCUCUCGACCUUAAUUUGCUUCGAUGAUAUCUUGGCUCGAUUUUAAGGCCUUUUGUGCAGGAUUUAGAGGUUGCAUUUUGGGUCGCAGUUCAUUUGAUGCGCCCAAUUUUGGUCGCUGGUACUCUAUAUUCCCUAAUGUAAGAUGUUUAACCAAGUUAAUUUAAUAAAAAACAUAGCAAUAUUUGUAAAAAAGAAAACCUAUUAUAAAAAUACAUUUCAUGGUAGCUAGAUUUAAUAAAAUUAAUUUGGCGUUCUAUAUGUUACUACUCGAUCCGUUUCCCAUUUCAAUCUACUUUGUUGCUGUAACAAAUCUCACAUGCACUAAAAUAGAAUAUGCGGCAAAUUAUAUUGCUACACUAAUUAUUACAUCCUAAUAACUUUUCUUAAAGCAAACAUUAUAUUUUUCUGGUGAGAAUAAUAUUACUGCAUUGAUAAAAGGUAGACAAAGAAAACAUCUCAUUGAAGUAAUUUCGAACAUGCCAACGAGAAAUGAAUAUGGAAUACAUUAUUUUAUAAACCUGAUCAAACUUGAAUAAAUUUGAUUUCUGACAAAACCAAAACAUCUUAAAUUCUGAAAUAUGGAGCAAGUAAGAGUGUAUUUGUGGGGCUAAAAUUAGCUAUUAUGAUCCAGCCUUUUCUGGAACGUGUCAAAAUGCAUAAAUAUCAUACACAGAAAGUACUAUAUAUUAUGAACAUAAAAUCCUCAGAAAAAAAAACUAUGUACUUGUAGUGUACUACUGAUCACUAAAUUAUACUAUCGUACAUUGGAGUAUAUACACACAAUUAAUACAGUAACUGAAUGAAAGGAAAACAAUCUAACUACUUUAAAAGCCUUUGGUGGGGAAUAUGCCACCCACUAUUGCUCUUGCAGUUUUUAUAAUUUGUCUUCUUUUUAUUUUCGAAUAUUAUGGAAUUAAUAGUCCAACAUUUUAUUUAAACAAGUGGUAACAGAUCUUAAAAUAAGCAAACAAUUAAGUACAUAUUUGAUAAAAAAUAUUUUGUUAUGAUAUAUUAUAAUAUUUUUUUUCUUUUGCCCAUUGCAAACUGGAACCGAGCUUCUUCUAGCAUGUUCUCAACUUAUGCGCAGGCGCUGUUGCUAGCCUAGGCCCUGUUUGGAUAGAACUAAAACUUUUUAAUCCUUAUCACAUUGGAUGUUUGGACACUAAUUAUAAAUAUUAAACGUAGAUUAUUGAUAAAACCCAUUCUAUAACCCUGGACUAAUUCGCGAGACGAAUCUAUUGAGACUAAUUAAUCCAUGAUUAGCCUACGUGAUGCUACAGUAAACAUACGCUAAUUAUGGAUUAAUUAGGCUUAAAAAAAUUUAUCACGUGAAUUAGCUCUUAUUUAUGUAAUUAGUUUUAUAAGUAGUCUUUGUUUAAUAUUCCAAAUUCAUCCGAUAUGACAGGGAUUAAAGUUUAGCCCCUGGAUCGUCCAAACACCCCCCCAAAUAAGAAAUUAUCGUCUUCUGCAAACAAAUGUACGUACCACACCAUCAAGGCUUCAAUGUUGCUUCUAGCAAAUGUGCUUAAAAGUUUAAAUCACAGUUUGAAUGCUGAAAUCUAGAGAAACUUAAUGAGACAGAGGUGCAAAGAAUAACUGUGUGCCUACCUAGUGAGCAAUCUUAUCCCCACGUACACGAUAUUGCAAUAGGCAAACACGUUCUUUUCGGUACUUGUAUUGACAUUGAACUCGGGUGGAUUGGUUCCAUCACAAGAAAUCUAACCAGUUAAUAAGCUCCUUACCUUUGCACGACUUAUUAGCCAUGGAACAAGUGGGAUGUACUUGUUACCCCCGUUUUAAUCACGGUAAGAUGCCUAUUCUGUUGAUCGUUUUCGUUCCCGAAAGUUAAUUGCAACAUAAGUAUAGAGCACAAGUCUUCAAGAGUCAUUUUCAAAAGGAAAACAUGUGUAAAAUUCACUAUAGUUUUGAAGAUGCGUACACUGAUAAAAGACCCAAACGAAAUGGGAAGAAAAUACAACUGUUACACGUACGUGAAACAUCUAAGUAGCCGGCCGAUUGAUUAAUCCGGCCCAAAUUGACACAAAGAAUGAACAAUUAAACGGGCUUCCAAAACAGAAUUGGUUGGCCCCAAUGAACGCGAUUCAUCGCGUCGGCGCCGUCGUCGCCGCUGCACUUGUAUUAACUACUUGCCUUUUGCCGGUGGACUUGAACUCGAGUAAUUAGUCGCCUUCGCUGACGCAGUGGAAUUACUCGUCGUCGCUGACGCAGUUGAGUAGCUAGUCGCCGUCGGCGCUUCUGCAGUUGAAUUGCUUUCCUUUUUAUUAGCCGAUGCAGUUGAGUUACUACUCGCCGUCGGUGCUUCCGCGGUUGAGUUGCUCGACGUUGAAGCUGAGCUAGAUGACGUUGAUGUCCCGCUAUUUGAUGUUACACCAACAAUUAGAAUAUAUUAAUUUGUACUAGCAUAAUUAAUUGAUUACACCUUCCAUUUCAUAUAAAAUGUAACUUUGUUUUGAUUUUUUUUGUCAAACUUAUUUAUAUUUGAUCAAUUUUUUUUCAAAAAAUUUAGCAGCAUUUUUAAAAAAUAGUUUAACUAAAUGUAAAGUUGAAUAUAUUUUUAUAAUAUGUUUGUUCUUUUCUUAAAAAAUUGUGUUGAUAUGUUUUCCAAUAAAAUUUGGUUAAACUUGAAAAAAAUGCAAAAGAAAUCAAAGCGAUUCAUAAUAUGAAAAAGAGAGAGUGUUAAUUAAUUAAUCGAUGUAAAAACAAAAGUAGUAAUUAAUUACUCUGGUGGGAUGAGCCAGGAGUCGCCGUAGAUGUAGUGCGUGCCGAUGAAGGGCUUGGCCUGCUCCUCGGUGAGGUCGAGCGCCCAACCCACCCUCUUCUUGGCGUCGGAGCCGGGGCCGGUGCACUUGAACUCGCCGUAGUAGAUCCCGCUGCUCUCCGGCUUGGCGAUGUUCCAGCCGUCCCAACCCACGGGCACCACCUCCUUGGACAUGUCGGUGUAGGCGUACACCACCCGCGACGAUUCCCCCCAUGCUCGCCCCAGGUAGAUCUGCCCUUCUCCCUUGAUGCUGCAGUUCUUGAAGGAGAAGCCGCUCUCGAGGGCGCCCUCGAUGGUCUUGCUCCUCUGCUGCGCCGUCAGCACGGACACCUCCUUGGUGACGGAGACGAUGGUGCAGCCCUCGU
rnacentral:lncRNA from 1 species